UUUUCUAUUUAGAAAAAUGCCCUGAAUGUCCCUGAAGUUUUCAAUCCCAGUUCCCUUUUCUCGGCCAUCUUUGAAGCAGUUUCAUUUCUUAAACUGAUGCUACAGGGGAAUCUUCCUCUGAGGGCCCAGGCCUGCUAAGCUUCAGGAAAUGUGUGUGUGGGAGCAAUGGAUGGGGAUAUUUACUCCAGCGACAAUUGCAGAAGUGACAGGAGCAUGGGGCAGGCUGGGGAAUGCCGAGGCUAGGGUUUACUAGAGAGCGCGUGUGCCACACCAUACCAUGUGCUGGGGACGCAAACACAUGUCAGCGUCAGAGAGAUCAACGGGGACCCUGUCUACUGCUGUCCUGCGGCACACACCACUGCCUGGCCAGCACCAAUGCUCAGCAACUCUGAAGGACACAUAACAAGGGGCCCUCAAAAGACACGACUGUGGAUUCUCGGAAGCCAGCAUCUGAAACCUGAGGCGUUGGCUUUGUCCCCAGGUGGUGGAUACUGCCC